ensembl:snRNA LOC120095459 U1 spliceosomal RNA
AUCCUGUAUGAAAGACAUAAGUGAUAUGAUCAUGAAGGUGUUUUUCCUGUGGGUGUGGUUUACUCAUUCACACUGAGUAUGCUGGUCCCAGCAAUUGUCCCAAAUAUAGUAAAGUUAACUGCACACUUUGUGAUUGUGUGGAGACUGUGUUCACCCUCCACUGCU